GGAUACUAUAUCAGCGUGCUAAGUGAAGGCACAAAUCCACAAGACUGUGACGAUUUAGUUGACUUGUAUCCUGAGGAACAACCACAAAGGGUGGAAGUAAACACUUAUGCACCCUCUGCUAGACCGAACCAUAAGAGGUCAAAGAAUUUCAGUGACGUGGAAGAUGAGCUUUUGGUGUCUGCAUGGCUUAACAUAAGUUUGGAUCCAAUUAUUGGUUAUAAUCAAACUCGCAGUUCAUAUUGGACUAGAAUUUAUGACUACUUUCAUGCCAAUAAGACCUUCUCCUCAACCUGUAGCCAGAACUCUAUUAUGCACCGUUGAGCCAGCAUACAAGAAGGUGUAAACAGGUUUAUUGGGUGCCUUGCUCAGGUUGAGAGAAGAAGGCAAAGUGGUGCUACAAUGCAAGACAAGCUUACACAGGCGUGUGCUUUAUAUAAGUCUGAAGAUAAGCAACACAAAGCUUUUCCAUAUAUGCAUUGUUGGAAUAAGUUGAGGACACAGCGUAAAUGGGAGAUGAAACUUGAAGAAUUGGCUAUUGGCAAGUCAUCUAAUAAGAAGCAAAAGAUGAACUCAAAUGAAACCUCACCUCCACAUUUACCAAGUGCCACCGAAACAAGCGAGCCUACAACUCCAAAUUAGACUAUCACAACAAGACCACCUGGAAAGAAGAAGGCCAAAGCAGCAGCAUUUCAAGCUGAAAAGAAAGGCUACACAGAAACUUUAAACAAAAUAUUUGAAAAGAAGAAAGAAACAGAUGAAUUUAAAGAAAUGAAAAAGGACGAGAGGUUUAGAUUAGCAUUAGCAGUUGAACAAGAGAGGGCUGCGAAUGAGAAAUUAAAUAUGGAGUUAAGGAGUAAAGAGCUAGAAUUGAGGCAACAAGAAGUUGAACAACAUAAGAAGAGGGAAGAAGAGAGGAUUAUGACACUAGACCUUAGUGUCAUGCCUACUGAUCAGAAGCAAUAUUACAUGAGACUACGAUCUAAGAUAUUGUCUGAAAAUGCCUAAUGUUACAUGGUACAUUAGGUGUUGAUUAGUCUUUAGCUAAACUGUUUGCUUUUUAUCACUAUAGAUUUAGGUUUCUUU